rnacentral:rRNA from 1 species
UACGUAGGGUGCGAGCGUUAAUCGGAAUUACUGGGCGUAAAGUGUGCGCAGGCGGCCGCGCAAGUCGAGUGUGAAAGCCCCGAGCUUAACUUGGGAAUUGCGCUCGAAACUACGUGGCUGGAGUGUGGCAGAGGAAGGUGGAAUUCCACGUGUAGCGGUGAAAUGCGUAGAUAUCGAGAGGAACACCUGCGGCGAAGGCGGGUUGCUGGGCUGACACUGACGCUGAAGCGCGAAAGCUAGGGGAGCGAACGGG